AUGAAAUCAUCAGGAAGGGUCCGAACCACGGCAGCUCUGCCCUCCUCGGAAGCCAAGGGCACGGCCCUGCUGACCCCCAGCCUCCCCUCUGCAGCUCCAACAGCCGUGUCCUGGAGCAGACGUGUCCUGCAGGCAUCAGAGGCUUGGAUGAAAGCCCAUUGAAGACUAUUCGAAUUUUCUGACUGACUUCUGGAAGAUAUUGUUGAAAGGACAAAGCACUAAGUAUAACACAACUUAGCAACAGCUUUCUGCCUGGGGUUUGGGGAUGGGCUAAGUGACUUCUACUUAUCCUCUCGCUAGGCUUUAGUUUCUCUGACUCUCUGAAACUUGAGAAAACCAUCUCAGCACCAUUUUGAAGGACAAAGACCUGCCGAUUCCAGGAGGAAGCACAGAACAGUCCUUUGAAAGGGUCAUCUACUGAGAAGUAAACUUUCUUACAUACGUAGCUCUGAAUUUUGAAAGUAGCUCAGGGCAAAUGUGGGUAAUGGUGAAACUGGUUUAUUUCUGUCAGAAAGUUAGGCUUUUAGUUGAAGCUAGUCAUUUAAGCCGUAGAAAGAGAGGCUGUUGCCUUCGAAGGAUGAAUCAUGCCACCCACUUUAGGCACUGCACAUUGGAAAAGGUGACUCACCCUCUGGAAAUGCCUCCCUUUCUCUCCGCAGCCUUUAGAUGAAACCUGGAUCACCAGCUUAGACACCCCAACUUUUAAAUGGCUAAAACUAGGUACAAGUAAUCCUUCCGGAAGAAGACACAGAGAUUAGCAUGCUUCCCAGAACAGCACUAGGAUGGAUAUCACACCACUGUUGUUCCAUCUGUAGGAUGCUUGAGGCAGGUGAAGGUCUUGCUGCCCAGCAGUGGGUCAGGCCAGAUUCAGGCUUAAUCUCAGCUGAGCUCUCCUGUGAAACAGCAGCCCUGCUUUCUGCUUGUAAUGUUACAACAUAAAGAAAAGUACAGCAAUAAAAACAAGACAGUAAAGUCCUAAGCUGCACCCUUGUCUCCCUCCUGCCAACCCUUAAAUGAGGUCUGGGAAGGGGUAGAUCCUGGCUCCACCCCUUCCACUCACUCAGGUGCAUUGCAUAGACCUGAGCAUCCCUAGGUUGGCCCUGCCUUUCCACCAGGUGCUCAAUCACUGCUUCAGGCUGUGACUUAGCAUUUCUGUGACAGUGCUGUAAGGCAUAGAGCCCUCAGAGCCCAGGGUGUCUUCAAAAACCCUUUACCUCCUGUUCUCCACCAUGCCACUUGGACACCACACACAUGGACUGUGAUGCCUUCUUUCCAUCCUGAGUUCACUAACUCUGUUCCAACAUCUCCAGCAAGUUUGGCUUGGUGUCUCUGAUACUACACCCCAAGAUCCUGUGAGCAGAUGGGAACUGAGAACAGCGCUCAGCAGCAUUUCCCAGAUGUGCCUGCAGCUGGGCUGGCUGUGCCCAUCCCUGCUGUGUCAGCCUGGAAGCACCAGUCCAGCACUUGACAAUAUUCCUGGAGCACGGCCAAUUCUCUGAUGACAGCGCAUGAGAGCAGUGUUCACGUUUCCCAUUUCCACAAAGCCACGUGACAGAAAAGAAGUCAGGACUGGUACUUGCUUUUUCAUGCUCAGAGUUUCUCCCUUGCAUUCUGUUGAGGGCUGCAUCAUUAUAUUCAUUUAUAAAAGUGACCUGAAGACAAAUGCGCACAAGCCUUCUUGCCUUCCCAUUGCUAUCUUGGAGGCAAGGCUCCAGUUUUUAGCCAUAUGACACAGUGAGAUAAGCCUUACAAUAAAAAGCAAACAAUGCAAGGCCAGCCCCGGGCCUCCAAGUCGCGAUCUCCGUUUGUUCAGCAUUUUCCCAGAAGGUUGUUGGAGAUACCUGUGGGUACGGCUGAAUGCAGAGAGUCGACUUUGCAGAAGCAAAGAGCACAGCAUUCUGGGUUAUUAAACCAUUUGUCUUACAGCCCCGGGGAAAAUGAGUUUGCUACAGAAAGUCACUAAUGGACCGAGUUUCCUCAUCUCAAGCUUUCUUCUCUGCGUUUCGCAGCAUCCCCAGCUUGGCACCAUUGUAAGCAUGAGCACCAACUUGUGUUGAGAAGAGAGCAGAGACCGAGAAAUGCAAAAGAGGGAUGUGUCAGAAAAGCUAUUUUUGAAACUGUCUCUGGCUCUUGACUGCAUUAUCUCCAGAUCUCCCCUCGACUGCAUUUUUUCAUCGUUCAUGGUAGGUUGAAGGCAUUUUUCAGCACGGUGUUAAAAGAACAUUGCAAAUUCAUCAAGAAUUUCCCUCAUAAUUAACAAAACAGAAACAAAAACAGAGUUGAGACUGUCAAAAAAUUCAUUCUAGGAGUAAACUAUAUUCUCUAUGGCACGGUAAUACAAUAUGCUGUUAAAUUCUUUCACUCAGAAGGGAAUAAAGGAUAUUUGAGCAUAAAUGCAUUAUCCACAAUCCACAAUAGCACAGCCUAUCCCCCUGUGGAUAAUGCUAUUAGUGCUACAUUUCAAAUUAAAAAGCAUAUGCUCUUCUUUCAAAAACAAGGGAGUGCUGCCCACUUCCUUCACUUGACUAAAAACAAAAGCUUUUAAAGUGAUAAAACAGCAUUCAUUUGAUAAAAACAACCAUCUGCACCUG
ensembl:lncRNA